rnacentral:rRNA from 1 species
CAGCAGCCACGGUAAUACAGAGGGUGCGAGCGUUAAUCGGAUUUACUGGGCGUAAAGCGUGCGUAGGCGGCUUCUUAAGUCGGAUGUGAAAUCCCUGAGCUUAACUUAGGAAUUGCAUUCGAUACUGGGAAGCUAGAGUAUGGGAGAGGAUGGUAGAAUUCCAGGUGUAGCGGUGAAAUGCGUAGAGAUCUGGAGGAAUACCGAUGGCGAAGGCAGCCAUCUGGCCUAACACUGACGCUGAGGUACGAAAGCAUGGGGAGCAAACAGGAUUAGAUACCCCCGUAGUCCCUGUCUCUUAUAC